AUUGAACGCUGGCGGAAUGCUUUACACAUGCAAGUCGAACGGCAGCAUAGGUGCUUGCACCUGAUGGCGAGUGGCGAACGGGUGAGUAAUACAUCGGAACGUGCCCAGUCGUGGGGGAUAACGUAGCGAAAGUUACGCUAAUACCGCAUACGAUCUAAGGAUGAAAGCGGGGGACCGUAAGGCCUCGCGCGAUUGGAGCGGCCGAUGUCAGAUUAGGUAGUUGGUGAGGUAAAGGCUCACCAAGCCGACGAUCUGUAGCUGGUCUGAGAGGACGACCAGCCACACUGGGACUGAGACACGGCCCAGACUCCUACGGGAGGCAGCAGUGGGGAAUUUUGGACAAUGGACGCAAGUCUGAUCCAGCCAUUCCGCGUGCAGGACGAAGGCCUUCGGGUUGUAAACUGCUUUUGUACGGAACGAAAAAGCUCUUACUAAUACUAGGAGUCCAUGACGGUACCGUAAGAAUAAGCACCGGCUAACUACGUGCCAGCAGCCGCCGCAG
rnacentral:rRNA from 1 species